CGAGAAAGUGGAGCAUCCAUGAGUAAAGUGGCGCACGGGUGAGUAACACGUGACUAACCUACCCUGGAGUGGGGGAUAACUGAGGGAAACCUUAGCUAAUACCGCAUAACACCUACGGGUCAAAGGAGCAAUUCGCUUCAGGAGGGGGUCGCGGCAGAUUAGUUAGUUGGCGGGGUAACGGCCCACCAAGACAGUGAUCUGUAUCCGGCCUGAGAGGGCGCACGGACACACUGGAACUGAAACACGGUCCAGACUCCUACGGGAGGCAGCAGUGGGGAAUUUUGCGCAAUGGGGGAAACCCUGACGCAGCAACGCCGCGUGGAGGAUGAAGUCCUUCGGGACGUAAACUCCUUUCGAUCGGGACGAUAAUGACGGUACCGAGAGAAGAAGCCCCGGCUAACUUCGUGCCAGCAGCCGCGGUAAUACGAGGGGGGCGAGCGUUGUUCGGAAUUAUUGGGCGUAAAGGGUGCGUAGGCGGUUUGGUAAGUCUGAUGUGAAAUCUAUGGGCUCAACUCAUAGUCUGCAUCGGAAACUGCCGGGCUUGAGUAUGGGAGAGGUGAGUGGAAUUCCUGGUGUAGCGGUGAAAUGCGUAGAUAUCAGGAGGAACACCUGUGGCGAAAGCGGCUCACUGGACCAUAACUGACGCUGAUGCACGAAAGCUAGGGGAGCAAACAGGAUUAGAUACCCUGGUAGUCCUAGCCCUAAACGAUGACUGCUUGGUGUGACGGGUACCCAAUCCCGCCGUGCCGUAGCUAACGCGUUAAGCAG
rnacentral:rRNA from 1 species